AGCAGCCGCGGUAAUUCCAGCUCCAAUAGCGUAUAUUAAAGUUGUUGCAGUUAAAAAGCUCGUAGUUGAAUUUCGGGAUCAGUGGGUCGGUCGUGCCACUGGUAUGCACUGGCCCUACUGGUUCCUCCUUCUUGAAGAACUGUAAUGCCAUUAAUUUGGUGUUGCAGGGAAACAAGACUGUUACUUUGAAAAAAUUAGAGUGUUUAAAGCAGGCAAUCGCUUGAAUACAUUAGCAUGGAAUAAUGAAAUAGGACGAUCGAUCCUAUUUUGUUGGUUUCUAGGAUUGACGUAAUGAUUAAUAGGGAUAGUUGGGGGCAUUAGUAUUCAAUUGUCAGAGGUGAAAUUCUUGGAUUUAUUGAAGACUAACUACUGCGAAAGCAUUUGCCAAGGAUGUUUUCAUUAAUCAAGAACGAAAGUUAGGGGAUCGAAGACGAUCAGAUACCGUCGUAG
rnacentral:rRNA from 1 species